rnacentral:rRNA from 1 species
AUGUCGCUGGCUCUUGUGCAUGGGCAUCGACUUCCUAACGACGUCGGGACGGUGCUGAGGUGCUCCACCACUGGAAUUGCGUUGAACUGGAAAGAGAAACAAAACGAAGAUUCGAUAUGGCUCCUGCCACCAUAUCGAAGGUCGUCUAUCGGGGGCGGAAGGAUCGAGGAGAAGCGAUCGACGGAGAUGUCAGGUGGAGGCAUCCACGCUCUAGGCGACGACGCUCUGGUGCAGAUCCUUGUCCGCCUCCCUUCCGUGUCCGUGCUCCGUUGCCGUGCCGUAUGCAAGGAUUGGCGGCGUGUCACCGUCGACCGUUCCUUCCUCGCCGCCCAUGCCGCCAACCGCCCACUCGAGAUGAUCGUCCAAUCUAGUUUCCCACACUGGACAGUGGAAGCCAUCCCUCUCGACGACCCGGCGCAGUUGACGGAUCGCUUCCUUUGCUACUAUGCCCCCUCCGCCGACGUCCGCAAUGUGUUGUAUUCUCUCCACGGCUUGCUCGUGCUGGCGCAACAUCAUGGCUUCUUUGUCAUCUGCAACCCGACCACCAGGCAGUGGACCAACCUGCCGGAGCUGGGUCAGCAAUCCUAUUGCGCUGUCUUCGAGUGCGGCUUCUACUUCCACAGCUUCUCCGGCGAGUACCGCCUUUUAUGUCAUGCCGUUGAGAUAGCCCCAGAAGAAUAUAACAAUAGGUUCGACCCUGACACGAAGCGUUACUACUACAUCCUUUCAGCUGGUGCCAUCCUGCCGCGUCGACUCGGGCGAGCUCCUUCCAGCCCGGGAAACCUUAGCUAUGAGGUUCCAGUGGCUCAUCGUGGGACUCUUCAUUGGCUCUCUAAGCACCCUCAAGCCAACCGCACCGGCAAGAUGCUAGCGUUCGACACCACUUUUGAGACAUUCCGACUCAUGUCGGGGCCGCUGCUAGAUGAUACCAUGAGGACGACCUUGUUUGAGCUCGAUGGGGAGCUCGGGGUCGCCGCUAUGCAGAGCUUGACGUCCCUCGACAUAUGGGUCCUACAAGACUACAAGGCCGAGACAUGGACAUUGCGCCAUCGGGUCGAUGUCCCGAUGCCCAUAUUUCACUACCACCAUCAAAUAUCAGUGAGCAAGGUCAUUUCUGUUGGGAACGGUGCCAUUCUCAUUGGAGCUCCCACCUGUGAGGUGGCUCGGAUGUACCAUCUCAAAGAGAAGAGGGUGAUUUGCAGAGAUUUCACCUUCAAUGUUGCAAGAACUGCAACGUUCUUAGUAUUCAAUGAGAGCCUCGUGCCACAUACCUUCUUCGAUUCCCCUCGCUGCCCGAAUCUCGAAACUAUAUACUUCUCUAUCAAGAGUUAG